UUCAGUUACUGAACAACAAAGCAAUCCGACAAUCAGACUGGACCCGGUCAUGUUAGAUACCAGAGGAAGACGAAAAUAUAAUUGAUUCUGUACUGAUGCAUGACUUCGCUCGGAACGCGGCAAGAAUUAACAAUGGAAGAAAAUACUACAGACGUGUUUAUUAACAAUAAAGUUAUUUUUGUUUUUAUGAAAUAGCGAUUGAAUAAAAAUAUUAGG